CUCAUUGGACCACUUUAAAUGUUAGGGGUGGACUUCAUUGGAUCACUUUAAAUGUUAGGGGUGGACUUCAUUGGAUCACUUUAAAUGUUAGGGGUGGACUUCAUUUAACCACUUUUAACAUUAGGGUGCUUGGAACCAAUAAUAGAUUUUCAUUUUGUAUGAUUACUUUCAAGGACGAGACUGGCGAGGCCACCUCGAGGCGAUGAUGGACAUCUUCAACACCCAUGGUUAUCUUGAGUGACCGAGUUCAUGAGCACUGGAACAAGGUUUGGUGAAUAGACCAACCAGACCAUCAAGACUGCCAUGAGCAAGUCCCUUGAUUGGUACCAAGAAGGUAAAUCUCUUUGCACACAACAACAGCAUCCAGGCCUCUACUGAGUACGGAUGGGAGCCGCAGCUGUUGACUGAGAUCACUGAACCCCCACCUGAUGUGGUGGAAGUUGUGGAACCAGAUCAGAACGCCUUCAAGGACCACCUUCAGGCAUGGACUGAGAAGGAUGCGGAGGUUU